UACGUAGGGGGCAAGCGUUGUCCGGAUUCAUUGGGCGUAAAGAGCGUGUAGGCGGCCAUACAGGUCAGCUGUGAAAACUCGAGGCUCAACCUCGAGACGUCGGUUGAAACCGUAUGGCUAGAGUCCGGAAGAGGAGAGUGGAAUUCCCGGUGUAGCGGUGAAAUGCGCAGAUAUCAGGAAGAACACCUAUGGCGAAGGCAGCUCUCUGGGACGGUACUGACGCUGAGACGCGAAAGCGUGGGGAGCGAACAGG
rnacentral:rRNA from 1 species